rnacentral:rRNA from 1 species
GGAUGCCCUGGCAGUCAGAGGCGAUGAAGGGCGUGCUAAUCUGCGAUAAGCGCCGGUAAGGUGAUAUGAACCGUUAUAACCGGCGAUACCCGAAUGGGGAAACCCAGUGUGACUCGUCACACUAUCAUUAACUGAAUCCAUAGGUUAAUGAGGCGAACCGGGGGAACUGAAACAUCUAAGUACCCCGAGGAAAAGAAAUCAACCGAGAUUCCCCCAGUAGCGGCGAGCGAACGGGGAGGAGCCCAGAGCCUGAAUCAGCAUGUGUGUUAGUGGAAGCGUCUGGAAAGGCGCGCGAUACAGGGUGACAGCCCCGUACACAAAAGCGCAUGUGCUGUGAGCUCGAUGAGUAGGGCGGGACACGUGGUAUCCUGUCUGAAUAUGGGGGGACCAUCCUCCAAGGCUAAAUACUCCUGACUGACCGAUAGUGAACCAGUACCGUGAGGGAAAGGCGAAAAGAACCCCGGCGAGGGGAGUGAAAAAGAACCUGAAACCGUGUACGUACAAGCAGUGGGAGCCCCACCACCAAAGCAUUUGCUGUACCGCGUUGACGGAGCGAAGCGACGUCAAACCGAUAAAACAGCAGUGUAAAGUGAGCCGCAGGGCGCUUUGCGCGACAGCGCAAAGGCAGGCGGUUUCGCGUAGCGAAAGCGAAUGCUUUGGGGUGGGGUGACUGCGUACCUUUUGUAUAAUGGGUCAGCGACUUAUAUUCUGUAGCAAGGUUAACCGAAUAGGGGAGCCGGAGGGAAACCGAGUCUUAAUUGGGCGUUAAGUUGCAGGGUAUAGACCCGAAACCCGGUGAUCUAGCCAUGGGCAGGUUGAAGGUUGGGUAACACUAACUGGAGGACCGAACCGACUAAUGUUGAAAAAUUAGCGGAUGACCUGUGGCUGGGGGUGAAAGGCCAAUCAAACCGGGAGAUAGCUGGUUCUCCCCGAAAGCUAUUUAGGUAGCGCCUCGUGAAUUCAUCUCCGGGGGUAGAGCACUGUUUCGGCUAGGGGGCCAUCCCGGCUUACCAACCCGAUGCAAACUGCGAAUACCGGAGAAUGUUAUCACGGGAGACACACGGCGGGUGCUAACGUCCGUC